UACGUAGGGUGCGAGCGUUAAUCGGAAUUACUGGGCGUAAAGCGUGCGCAGGCGGUUUUGUAAGUCAGAUGUGAAAUCCCCGGGCUUAACCUGGGAAUGGCAUUUGGGACUGCAAGGCUGGAGUGUGGCAGAGGAGACUGGAAUUCCUGGUGUAGCAGUGAAAUGCGUAGAUAUCAGGAGGAAUGCCGAUGGCGAAGGCAGGUCUCUGGGCUGACACUGACGCUCAUGCACGAAAGCGUGGGGAGCAAACAGG
rnacentral:rRNA from 1 species